GCCCCCGUAGCUCAGAGGAUAGAGCAGCAGCCUUCUAAUCUGUCGGUCGUAGGUUCGAGUCCUACCGGGGGCGCCG
rnacentral:tRNA from 1 species